rnacentral:lncRNA from 1 species
GGGGAGUCUCAGUCCACUUGGUUGACUAGUACUUAGUCAAGCUAAAGUAACUAACAGCCACCUCUUCUGGGGGAAGAAUGUGUUUUUAAAAUUUGUUUAAUUAGGAUCAAAGCUUGAGGUUGAUUAUCAUGAAACUCUUGGGAUGAAUGUCAGGGAACGGUAACCAGAUGGGACGAUCAGAGGGGAGGAGAGAAAGCCUUGUUCUCUGUGCCACUGACAGACACUGUUACUGACUAUCCUCCCCUUCUCUGGAGGGAGGGCUUCCAGGUGCAGGUCUCCUGUGUGCUUCUGAGAAGAUGCGCUCAGCUACCAGCAGGGCUCUGUGACUGGCCGAGAGGCGGCAGUGGAGGAAGAAGAUGACAGCUGCUUGGCUGAAACUCAGGAGGAGAUGAUGUCUGUUUUAAGCGACCUCAAACCCUUGUGGCCAAAAGGCAACAUCUAAACUCUUUUUCUCUCGUCUUCAUCAUAGGAGCAAUCUCUGGUACAUGCACGUUAACCAAAACUCCAGGUGCAGUUCAAGGAAUCUUCCUAUUUUAAAAAAUGAGGGAAGAUGACAACUGACACAAAUUUCUUGGCUCCUGGCACAAAAAUUCAGUACUUUAAAGACUCCUUUCUGUGAAGGUGACACAAGGGGUGGCCUAGGCACUGCCUCAUGGCUUGUUUCCCUGCCAGUUCAGCUAGCCCUACAACAAGGGGAUAUUCGUAUGAGCUGACAUGUGCUGAUUGGCAAACUCAUGUCCUGGCCCAUGACCAUAAAACAAUAUUAACAAAUCUACACUGAACGAAACACACGGUCAACAGAGAGUUUUGUGGGUCUUCCCUGUGUGAGCAUCUGCACGUGGGUGGAGGAGCUGGGCAGAGGCUCCAGGAGGGCCAGGCCAGGCCGGGGCUGCUUGGCUCUCCUGCCUACCCAGCACCGUCUCAGAGGACAUGAGGACUGCAGGCUUGAUCUGAGGGAGGAGACAUCCCCUACUGGACGGACCUGAAGUUUAAAAGGGGAAGAAGGCACGGAAGUGAGGAAGAGAAUGCACACAAGAACCAAGCCGUUGUUUCUUCAAGAGAGAUCACUGAAGGCAGCCAGAAGUGAAGACUGGAAAGGCUGAGGGAAGGCUGAUUCUUGGUGGAAUGGUGGUUGUCUUCCUGGUAACCAGAGCUGGAUCUGGGAGAGCUGCGGCACGCUGUUCAAUGUGUUAGUUUGCGCCUGCUGCAUGACAAACCACCUCGGAAGUCCAUGGCAUACAAGCAGCAGCAUACGUUAUCACGCUCACAGUCGUACAGACCAGCUGGGGCACCUGUGCAUCAGGCUGCGGAAGGCUGGGGUGUGCUCUGCUCUACUUUCCUUUAUUCUUCUGGGACCUGUGAGCUAACUUGGGCAUGUUCUUCUCAUGGGAGUGGCAGAAAUGAAAGAGGGGUGAGCAGAAACUCAGUGAGCAGCUCAGAACUGGUACCCCGUCACCUCCACCCACAUUCCAUCGGCCAAAGCAAUUCCAUGGCCAAGCCCAAUAACAGUAGACUGUGGACAUAUUCUCCACCUUGCAUGGAAGGAACUGCUGAGUCACUUGGCAACGUGUAUGGAUUCAGGGAGGAGUCGAUGGGGACAAUGAUAGAACUGCUACUCCAGUUUGGGCACUUUCUAUUGAAUCCUGGUAGCCAUGGAAGACUGCAUCUCUUGAGUUGCUACUGAUAGGAAGGAAAGACUGGCUGAUGUCUCUUAAUGAUAGUAUGGAAAUCCUUUUGAAAGUUUAGUUUAGAAACUAAGUUUCAUAAUGACCAGGACAAUGUACGUCUAGUUCACCUCCUGUGUUCAGUAAACACUUCUUGAUCCAAUGAUUAAAUGGUGAAAGAAUAUUAUAUGUGUAGCUACGUAUCUGUAAAUAGAUAUAGGGUAAAAAAGUGGAAUUUAUCUACCCAUAUAGAAUGUGAGUAAAGAGUUUAAUAACAAAAAU